rnacentral:rRNA from 1 species
AAUACCGCAUAUUCUGUGGGCAGGAAGAGGGGGAUCGCAAGACCUCUUGCUUUAGGAGCGGCCGAUGUCGGAUUAGCUAGUUGGUGAGGUAAAGGCUCACCAAGGCGACGAUCCGUAGCGGGUCUGAGAGGAUGAUCCGCCACACUGGGACUGAGACACGGCCCAGACUCCUACGGGAGGCAGCAGGUGGGGUAAUUUUGGACAAUGGGCGCAAGCCUGAUCCAGCCAUGCCGCGUGAGUGAAGAAGGCCUUCGGUUGUAAAGCUCUUUCGGUGGGGAAGAAAUUGCACAGGAUAAUACCUUGUGUAGAUGACGGUACCCGCAUAAGAAGCACCGGCUAACUACGUG